CCCUCCCAGCGCCCGAACCCAGGCAACUUCCCGCCGCCCGGGCAGGAGUUUCUCCGUAGCCCACGGACAUCCGGGAGGCUUGUGGAGGGCAGGCGGGUAACCCCCACUCCCACCCCACCUUUAUCCAGGGGCAGCCAGAGGAGCCAGCAGGUCGGGAUUCGCUGAGGGGGCUCCACGCGGGGCCUCCCACGCACAGGGACAGGGUCUGCUAUGUUGUCCAGGCUGGUCUCAAAUUCCUUGCCUCAAGCGAUCCAACUGCCUCAGCCUCCUGAGUCACUGGGAUUACAGGCAUGAAGACAUUGUUUUCAAGGGAUCACUCUGCUUUGUGGAGACUAGACUGUGAGGAGCAAGCCUCGAAAGGGGAGAGCUGUUUCGAGGAACAGGUGAGAUCCCACAGGGAAAGCCCACAGCACUGUGCUUCAAGUGAGCACUGGAUACACGGAAGUGCCGGACAUGCAGAAUCCACGGAGGAGAAGCCUUGGAAGAGGAGGCCCCCGGGGAUGCCAAGAAGAGAGCACCCUCGGUGGGGGCAGGCCCCUGUGUAGGUGCCGGAGGGACCUGCCAUGCUCCCCGCUGCCCUCACUAGCCCUGCCUAGUGGCCCAGGCUCUUUGGCCUGUGUGGCUCAGCUCAAGCCCACCAGGAGGGUGUCCGCGCCCCG
rnacentral:lncRNA from 1 species